GACGAACCACACGAACGUUAUUCGGAAUCACUGGGCUUAAAGGGUGCGUAGGCUGCGCAGCAAGUUGGGUGUGAAAUCCCUCGGCUCAACCGAGGAACUGCGCCCAAAACUGCUGUGCUCGAGGGAGACAGAGGUGAGCGGAACUUAGGGUGGAGCGGUGAAAUGCGUUGAUAUCCUAAGGAACACCCGUGGCGAAAGCGGCUCACUGGGUCUCUUCUGACGCUGAGGCACGAAAGCUAGGGUAGCGAACGGG
rnacentral:rRNA from 1 species